GACGAACGCUGGCGGCGUGCUUAACACAUGCAAGUCGAGCGGUAAGGCCCUUUCGGGGGUACACGAGCGGCGAACGGGUGAGUAACACGUGGGUGACCUGCCCUCAGCUCUGGGAUAAGCCUGGGAAACCGGGUCUAAUACUGGAUAUGACUCCAUGACGCAUGUUGUGGGGUGGAAAGCCUUGUGCGGCUGAGGAUGGGCCCGCGGCCUAUCAGCCUGUUGGUGGGGUGANGGCCUACCAAGGCGACGACGGGUAGCCGGCCUGAGAGGGCGACCGGCCACACUGGGACUGAGACACGGCCCAGACUCCUACGGGAGGCAGCAGUGGGGAAUCUUGCGCAAUGGGCGAAAGCCUGACGCAGCGACGCCGCGUGAGGGAUGACGGCCUCGGUUGU
rnacentral:rRNA from 1 species